CUUGGUGUCCCGAAAGGGGCGCAAAAUGGAACACGGCGAGGAGGUCUACCUCCGGAAGCCAAGGCUAUCCCUGCAACUGUAAGCCGCGAGCAAGAAGUACGGCGCAUCUUCCAUGAAAGGUGUAGCCGUUGAAUUGCCGUGACAUCGGCAACGAUCCGGGAAGGCCGUAUGUCGAGCGACGCCCCUUGAGCCAGGAGACCUGCCAGCAUC
rnacentral:ncRNA from 1 species